rnacentral:rRNA from 1 species
UACAGAGGGUGCAAGCGUUAAUCGGAAUUACUGGGCGUAAGCGUGACGUAGACGGUUACAUUAAGUCGGGUGUGAAAGGCCCCGGGCUCAACCUCGGGGAAUUGCAUUCGGAGACUGCGUAGCUAGGGUGCGGAAAGAGGGAAGCGGAAUUUCCGGGUGUGAGCGGGUGAAAUGCGUAGAUAUCGGAAGGAACACCAGUGGCGAAAGCGGCUUCCUGGUCCAGCACCGACGUCAGGCACGAAAGCGUGGGGAGCAAACAGGAUUGAGAA